UUACGGUCAAAUCACGCUGAAACACCGGUUCUCAUACGAUCACCGAAGUUAAGCAGCAUAGAGCCAGGUCAGUACUUAGAUGGGGGGACCGCUUGGGAACACCUGGUACUGUAAG
rnacentral:rRNA from 1 species